CCUGCAGGCUGUGUCUCCUGGCUGGCUUCUUUCUCUCUCAGGCUCAUGUGGAAAGCCAGCCAGAAUGGUCAAGAGGUCCUUUCUCCUUCCUUCAACCUGAGAACUUGGCAAUGAUCAAAAGGAGGUGAUUAGUAGCUACAGAGAAAAGACACCAGCAGGCAAGGAGUUAACAGACGCUGAGCCCUUCACCCCCAGGUUCGGGAUGGGGGAGCGGUGGAGAGAGCUGGUCACAAAGGCGAGGGGUCCUGGUGAAAAAGCCCACGUCCUAGAAGCCAACUUUGAAGAACAAAGUAGAGGAUCCAUUAAAAGUUAAUUCAGUAAAUAAACUUCAUUGGCGAUAAAACAAACAAGAAAGAUGGAAGCGCCAACUUAAAAUAGCCAAAAGAUAAUAAAAAUAAAUAGUUUUGAUGUGGCCUCAACAUGUGCUGUGCCUUUUGGCAGGCAGGUCCCUACCCUGGUCCACCCUGCAGAGGCCUCCAUGGAGCACCCUCUCUCCUUUUGAAAAGCCCUCAUGUGUACACGCAAUGUUUUUUGGCAUUUGUCAUUUUUAGGCAACUUCACACAUCAAAGGCG
rnacentral:lncRNA from 1 species